AGAGUUUGAUCAUGGCUCAGGAUGAACGCUGGCGGCGCGCCUAACACAUGCAAGUCGAACGGAGAUUAUUAUGAAGUACCUUCGGGUGCGGAUGAUGAUCUUAGUGGCGAACGGGUGAGUAACACGUGAAGAACCUGCCUUUCAGAGGGGGAUAACACUUAGAAAUAGGUGCUAAUACCGCAUAAGACCACAAUGCCACAUGGCGAAGGGGUCAAAGGAGAAAUCCGCUGAGAGAUGGCUUCGCGCCCGAUUAGGCAGUUGGUGAGGUAACGGCCCACCAAACCUACGAUCGGUAGCCGGACUGAGAGGUCGAUCGGCCACAUUGGGACUGAGACACGGCCCAGACUCCUACGGGAGGCAGCAGUGGGGGAUAUUGCACAAAGUGGGGGAAACCCUGAUGCAGCGACGCCGCGUGAGGGAAGAAGGUUUUCGGAUUGUAAACCUCUGUCUUCGGGGACGAUAAUGACGGUACCCGAGGAGGAAGCCACGGCUAACUACGUGCCAGCCGCCGC
rnacentral:rRNA from 1 species